AUUGAACGCUGGCGGCAUGCCUUACACAUGCAAGUCGAACGGCAGCGGGGACUUCGGUCCGCCGGCGAGUGGCGAACGGGUGAGUAAUGUAUCGGAACGUACCAUUCAGUGGGGGAUAACUAUCCGAAAGGAUAGCUAAUACCGCAUAUUCUGUGAGCAGGAAAGCAGGGGAUCGCAAGACCUUGCGCUGAUUGAGCGGCCGAUAUCAGAUUAGCUAGCUGGUGAGGUAACGGCUCACCAAGGCUACGAUCUGUAGCGGGUCUGAGAGGAUGAUCCGCCACACUGGGACUGAGACACGGCCCAGACUCCUACGGGAGGCAGCAGUGGGGAAUUUUGGACAAUGGGCGCAAGCCUGAUCCAGCCAUGCCGCGUGAGUGAAGAAGGCCUUCGGGUUGUAAAGCUCUUUCGGCCGGGAAGAAAUCGCAUCAGCUAAUACCUGGUGUGGAUGACGGUACCGGAAUAAGAAGCACCGGCUAACUACGUGCCAGCAGCCGCCGCAG
rnacentral:rRNA from 1 species